rfam:Schistosoma margrebowiei strain Zambia genome assembly, scaffold: SMRZ_contig0000656
AGCUUUCCGAAUCCGUGCAGAGAUUUCGUCAGACACCAAUCCAUUAGGGCUGAUAAGACUCCCAAGAUGAGUGAAGUU